GACGAACGCUGGCGGCGUGCUUAACACAUGCAAGUCGAACGGAAAGGCCCUGCUUUUGUGGGGUGCUCGAGUGGCGAACGGGUGAGUAACACGUGAGUAACCUGCCCUUGACUUUGGGAUAACUUCAGGAAACUGGGGCUAAUACCGGAUAGGAGCUCCUGCUGCAUGGUGGGGGUUGGAGAGUUUCGGCGGUUGGGGAUGGACUCGCGGCUUAUCAGCUUGUUGGUGGGGUAGUGGCUUACCAAGGCGUUGACGGGUAGCCGACCUGAGAGGGUGACCGGCCACAUUGGGACUGAGAUACGGCCCAGACUCCUACGGGAGGCAGCAGUGGGGAAUAUUGCACAAUGGGCGGAAGCCUGAUGCAGCAACGCCGCGUGCGGGAUGACGGCCUUCGGGUUGUAAACCGCUUUCGCCUGUGACGAAGCGUGAGUGACGGUAAUGGGUAAAGAAGCACCGGCUAACUACGUG
rnacentral:rRNA from 1 species